CCUACGGGAGGCAGCAGUGGGGAAUAUUGGGCAAUGGAGGCAACUCUUACCCAGCAAUGCCGCGUGAAUGAAGAAGGUCUUCGGAUUGUAAAGUUCUUUAAUUGGGGACGAAAAAAAUGACGGUACCCAAGGAAUAAGCCCCGGCUAACUACGUGCCAGCAGCCGCGGUAAUACGUAGGGAGCGAGCGUUGUCCGGAAUUACUGGGUGUAAAGGGAGCGUAGGCGGGGAUGCAAGUUGGGUGUCAAAACUACCGGCUCAACUGGUAGUCGCACUCAAAACUGCAGCUCUUGAGUUAAGAAGAGGC
rnacentral:rRNA from 1 species